AAGUGCAGGUGUCUGAUUUGAAAGGUAGUGUAUAGUUGAUGUGAAUUUGUAUGAGUGCCUGGAUGGUACAUUUUUACAUCUUAUAAAACUUUAAUUA